GACGAACGCUGGCGGCGUGCUUAACACAUGCAAGUCGAACGGAAAGGCCCGGCUUUUGUGGGGUGCUCGAGUGGCGAACGGGUGAGUAACACGUGAGUAACCUGCCCUUGACUUUGGGAUAACUUCAGGAAACUGGGGCUAAUACCGGAUAGGAGCUCCUGCUGCAUGGUGGGGGUUGGAAAGUUUCGGCGGUUGGGGAUGGACUCGCGGCUUAUCAGCUUGUUGGUCGGGUAGUGGCUGACCAAGGCUUUGACGGGUAGCCGGCCUGAGAGGGUGACCGGCCACAUUGGGACUGAGAGACGGCCCAGACGCCUACGGGAGGCAGAAGUGGGGAAUAUUGCACAAUGGGCGGAAGCCUGAUGCAGCAACGCCGCGUGCGGGAUGACGGCCUUCGGGUGGUAAACCGCUUUCGCCUGUGACGAAGCGUGAGUGACGGUAAUGGGUAAAGAAGCACCGGCUAACUACGUG
rnacentral:rRNA from 1 species